rnacentral:rRNA from 1 species
UGCAGCAGGCGCGAAACCUUUACACUGCACGACAGUGCGAUAAGGGGACUCCGAGUGCGAGGGCAUAGAGCCCUCGCUUUUGUCCACCGUAAGGAGGUGGAGGAAUAAGGGCUGGGCAAGACCGGUGCCAGCCGCCGCGGUAAUACCGGCAGCCCAAGUGAUGGCCGAUAUUAUUGGGCCUAAAGCGUCCGUAGCUGGCCGCGCAAGUUCGUCGGGAAAUCCACUUGCUUAACGGGUGGGCGUCCGGUGAAAACUGCCUGGCUUGGGACCGGAAGACCCGAGGGGUACGUCCGGGGUAGGAGUGAAAUCCCGUAAUCCUGGACGGACUACCGAUGGCCAAAACACCUCGCGAACACGGAUCCGACAAUCCGCCCGAAAGGCCAUC